rnacentral:rRNA from 1 species
CAGUAGCCACGGUAAUACGGAGGGUGCAAGCGUUAAUCGGAAUUACUGGGCGUAAAGCGCACGCAGGCGGUCUGACAAGUCAGAUGUGAAAUCCCCGGGCUUAACCUGGGAACUGCAUUUGAAACUGUCAGGCUGGAGUCUUGUAGAGGGGGGUAGAAUUCCAGGUGUAGCGGUGAAAUGCGUAGAGAUCUGGAGGAAUACCGGUGGCGAAGGCGGCCCCCUGGACAAAGACUGACGCUCAGGUGCGAAAGCGUGGGGAGCAAACAGGAUUAGAUACCCCUGUAGUCCCUGUCUCUUAUAC